rnacentral:rRNA from 1 species
GACGUAGGGCGCGAGCGUUGUCCGGAUUUAUUGGGCGUAAAGAGCUCGUAGGCGGCUUGUCGCGUCGACUGUGAAAACCCGCGGCUCAACCGCGGGCCUGCAGUGGGGUACGGGGCAGACUUGAGUUCGGUAGGGGGAGACUGGAAUUCCUGGUGUAGCGGUGAAAUGCGCAGAUAUCAGGAGGAACACCGGUGGCGAAAGGCGGGGUCUCUGGGGCCGAUACUGACGUGAGGAGCGAAAGCGUGGGGGAG